UUAUGUUCCCUGUCGUUCACCACCAUUCGAAUCAGAAGAAGAGUGUGGAAAUAUGUACCGAGAACUGCUAUGUGAACCCACGUGUGUUUGGUUACAGAUGAGGCUGUGGUUGAAGGUUAUCCCGGUUCUCGCCUGGAUCCCGUUGUUGAGGCUCGGGGUCUUCCCAGGCGUGGUCCAAGAGUUGUUGAGCCUCGCAGGGAUGCCAGGGGCGAUGGUUACCGAACUUUUCGGCAGUAUCCAGUUCUCGUGCCUCGGGAGGAUCCCUGGGCUGUGGCCGUAGCGGAUGGAGAUCCCUCUUCUGCUCUGGAGCCUGGACUGGUGACUCCGGGAC